rnacentral:lncRNA from 10 species
CCCGUCCCUUCUCGCUCCUCCCUCUUGUCACACCCGUUCAGACAUGGGCUGUCACAAAUCCUCUGCACCCCAGGAGCGCCGCUUGGACCCCCGGGCUCGCUGCGUGGUCCAUAUCUAGGUCGGGCCUCUCACGGAGACUUUCCCACCAGUGUAAUAAAGAGGAGAAAACGUCACAGCGGAAGGGCCUGACCCUGCUGCAUCCACUAAGGAAACAGCUACGGGGAUGGGACCCUGGGAGCUGCUGUGGAGCCUCAUCCACCGCUUCUCUGACCCCACCCAGGCUGCUUCCCAGGCCUCAGGGUCUUAGUGUGGACCUCCGGGCCGUGAUUAAUGCAGUUUUUCAGGUUAAGUACUGCACGACUACUCGCUUCUGAAACUGAUAGACACUGCCUCAGCUCCGUGCAGGGCAGACGCACAAGAGCAGAAUCUCCGUGGGACAUCUCUCUGGAGCAUCAAUAUUACUGCAGUAUUUGGAAGAAACAAAUUUAAAUAAGUUCUAAGGUGAAGAAUGGAACAUUUAAGACAAGUCUGGAAAGUCAUCUGCCUUUAAUAACUGUCGUUUGUCCUUAACGUCAGACUUUCUCCAAGACCAAAACUCUAAGAACUUAUUUCCAUUCUUACAAAUAGUAAAAAUGAUAAAUCAUAUCAAGUCAAUUGAAA